UUUCCCUACGGGAGGCAGCAGUGAGGAAUAUUGGUCAAUGGGCGGAAGCCUGAACCAGCCAAGUCGCGUGAGGGAAUAAGGCCCUACGGGUCGUAAACCUCUUUGGCCGGGGAGAAAGGGCGGGGACGUGUCCCGGCCCGGAGAGUACCCGGAGAAAAAGCAUCGGCUAACUCCGUGCCAGCAGCCGCGGUAAUACGGAGGAUGCGAGCGUUAUCCGGAUUUAUUGGGUUUAAAGGGUGCGCAGGCGGGCUUUUAAGUCAGCGGAAAAAAUUGGGG
rnacentral:rRNA from 1 species